GACGAACGCUGGCGGCGUGCCUAAUACAUGCAAGUAGAACGCUGAAGGAGGAGCUUGCUUCUCUGGAUGAGUUGCGAACGGGUGAGUAACGCGUAGGUAACCUGCCUGGUAGCGGGGGAUAACUAUUGGAAACGAUAGCUAAUACCGCAUAAUAGUAGAUGUUGCAUGACAUUUGCUUAAAAGGUGCAAUUGCAUCACUACCAGAUGGACCUGCGUUGUAUUAGCUAGUUGGUGGGGUAACGGCUCACCAAGGCGACGAUACAUAGCCGACCUGAGAUGGUGAUCGGCAAAAAUGGGAAGGAGAAAAGGACCAGAAUCCUACGGGAGGCAGCAGUAGGGAAACUUCGGAAAUGGAAGGAAGUCUGACCGAGCAACGCCGCGUGAGUGAAGAAGGGUUUAGGAUCGUAAAGCUCUGUUGUAAGAGAAGAACGAGUGUGAGAGUGGAAAGUUCACACUGUGACGGUAACUUACCAGAAAGGGACGGCUAACUACGUG
rnacentral:rRNA from 1 species